CCUUCGGAGCAGUUUCCUAGCCCAGGGCCGGGUCGGGAGGCAGACGAAGAGUGUGCUGUCUCUGAGGCAACUCUCUCUUCUCCCCGAGCUCCUGGUCUGAGCGCCUGACCUUGACAUUAAAGCCUUUUGAGGAGGGCCCUUUUUUUUUUUUUUUUUUUUUUAAAGAGGUCCUGAGGAAAUAGGGCACUAGGGUGGAAUGUCAUUAUUAAACUAUUGCUAAUUAUGUCCCCUCUUCUCCCAUUCAAGUCUUUUUCCUCCUGUGUUGUUAUUUCUCAUAACACGAAAUCUCUCCUUGGUUCUGUAAGCAAACUACCCAUUGAAGUGACUUGCUGAGGGUUAGGCUGAGUAUUAGUGUAUUUACUAAGGAUUAACCUCUUUUCUUUGGAACUUUAGGUAUUUUGGGCUUCAAGACUAUCCCACCUAUGUGGUAGGAACAUUGGUUGAACUUAAACACAGCCAGCCCAUAAGCAACCCUUGUUUCCUGAAUUAUUGGUCCAUUAAGUUGUGACUGAAAGCUUGGCUUCACAGUGAGUGGUGUACAUUUUGUGGGGCAGUGGUCUAUGGAAAUUGGAUUCCUUCCCUCAGCAAUGUGUUGUUUUGUUUUUUUUCCUUUUUGUUGAACAAAAAUUUUGGUGAACAAAAUUUUACAGGUUUCAGGUGCACAACUCCACAAAACAUCAUCUGUACGUUCUGUUGUGCGUUCACCACCCCAGGUCAAGUAGCCAUGUGUUGGUUUGAAGAACCGUCUUGGUUAAGUCAUAUUUUAACUGUUUUCAUAGGACUUCACUGGAAUAUUGUUUGGGAAAGUAUCAUGGAAGUUCUGCGACCACAGCUUAUAAGAAUUGGCGGACGGAUUUAUAGGAAGAAUCCCAUUCAAGAACAGACUUACCAGCAUGAAGAGGAGGAUGAGGACUUCUAUCAAGGCUUCGUGGAGUGUGCAGAUGAGCCCUGUGAUGGCUAUGAGGUGGUGCAGACCCAGCAAGGUUUCCAGUGUACUGUGAAGGCCCCCAGCCUGCUCUACAAGCAUAUAGUUGGAAAGAGAGGGGAUACCAGGAAGAAACUAGAAGUGGAGACCAAAACUUCUAUUAGUAUUCCUAAACCUGGACAAGAAGGAGAAAUUGUAAUCACUGGCCAGCAUCGAAGUGGUGUAAUUUCAGCCCGAACUCGGAUUGAUGUUCUUUUGCUCACUUUUAGAAGAAAGCAGCCCUUCACUCACUUUCUUUCCUUUUUCCUCAAUGAACCUGAGGUUCAGGAACGAUUCCUGAAGUUCCAGGAGGAAGUACUGGAGAAGUGCUCUAUGGAUCAUGGAGUUGAUAGCACCAUUUUCCAGAAUCCCAAAAAACUUCACCUAACUAUUGGGAUGUUGGUACUUUUGAGUGAGCAAGAGAUCCAGCAGACAUGUGAGAUGCUAAAGCAGUGUAAAGAGGAAUUCAUUGACGACAUUGCUGGGGGCAAACCCCUGGAAGUAGAGAUGGAAGGGAUAGAAUACAUGAAUGAUGAUCCUGGCAUGGUGGAUGUUCUUUAUGCCAAAGUUCAUAUGAAAGAUGGCUCCAACAGGCUGCAGGAAUUAGUUGAUCGAGUGCUGGAACGUUUUCAGGCAUCUGGGCUAAUAAUGAAAGAGUGGACUAGUGUGAAACUCCAUGCUACCGUCAUGAAUACUCUACUCAGGAAAGACCCCAAUGCUGAAGGCAGGUAUAAUAGCUACACGGCGGAUGGCAAAUAUAUCUUCAAGGAAAGAGAAUCCUUCGAUGGCAGAAACAUUUUAAAGCUGUUUGAGAACUUCUACUUUGGUACCCUAAAGCUCAAUUCAAUCCACAUCUCUCAGAGGUUCUCAGUGGACAGCUUUGGAAACUAUGCCUCCUGUGGACAAAUUGACUUCUCCUGAGGUGGAUCUUUGGACGCCCUAGAAAUUGAACAUCUUCACAAGGUGCUGAGGGAUCUGCUUUCCUCUCUGAAGCUCUUCUCUGGAAAUGUACCUUUGAAGCCCAUGGGACCUCAUAUUCACAUUACUUCUUAUAUACCUACUGAUUUUGUCUCAGCAGUUAACGUCAUUUGUAUUAAUACUUUAAAAGAGAAUUAAAGACGUGAUUUUAUUAAUCUA